rnacentral:rRNA from 1 species
AACGAACGCUGGCGGCGUGCUUAACACAUGCAAGUCGAACGGAAAGGCCCUGCUUUUGUGGGGUGCUCGAGUGGCGAACGGGUGAGUAACACGUGAGUAACCUGCCCUUGACUUUGGGAUAACUUCAGGAAACUGGGGCUAAUACCGGAUAGGAGCUCCUGCUGCAUGGUGGGGGUUGGAAAGUUUCGGCGGUUGGGGAUGGACUCGCGGCUUAUCAGCUUGUUGGUGGGGUAGUGGCUUACCAAGGCUUUGACGGGUAGCCGGCCUGAGAGGGUGACCGGCCACAUUGGGACUGAGAUACGGCCCAGACUCCUACGGGAGGCAGCAGUGGGGAAUAUUGCACAAUGGGCGGAAGCCUGAUGCAGCAACGCCGCGUGCGGGAUGACGGCCUUCGGGUUGUAAACCGCUUUCGCCUGUGACGAAGCGUGAGUGACGGUAAUGGGUAAAGAAGCACCGGCUAACUACGU